GGCUCACGUAGGUUCGUUCGCGUGGUCUUGUUACGCCUCGCUGGAUCGUGUUCAGUCAUGCCGUCCUUGCGCGGCGUGAUUGUCGGUGAGUCAGGUUAAAUUCUUAAAUAGGUCGCGCCUGCGCCUAAUUGAGUCUAUAAAAGCCUGCACAUUCAGUUUUGCUAGCUACAAUGCAGUGCGGCUGGCGUGAGCUGUCUCCACGAUGCGCUUCGAGCGUGUCGAUUUCGCCGUUCUUUAUGUUGGCGUUAACGACCUUGAAAGCAACAUGGAUCCACAAGAAAUGUGCGACAACAUCAAGGCCUUGAUUGUUCAACGAGACGGCCCCCGUCGUGCUGGUUUUCAAGGUGCUCCCUCGCUGCCUAGAAGAUGCUGAUGCGGAAUAGAAAAUGCAUAAACGUCGCUUGCUCAACCGCAAAUUGACGGCUACGCUGAAGCGCAUGCCGUGUCUGCGGAAUUUGAACCCCGAGCUUUCCAGAGUUCCUUGGAAAAUCCUCCCAUGCACCUGCCAUGUACAUUGCCCUCCUCCUCGAUGUGGCGUGCAAGAUGGCAGCAGCAGCUGUGGGAACAGUUGAAGAGGCGAAGAAAGGUCCACUUUAUAAUAGGUUGUAUGUAAAUAAAACUGAUCGACCUCAA